rnacentral:rRNA from 1 species
GCACAAGCGGUGGAUGAUGUGGAUUAAUUCGAUGCAACGCGAAAAACCUUACCUACCCUUGACAUGUCUGGAACCUUGCUGAGAGGCGAGGGUGCCUUCGGGAGCCAGAACACAGGUGCUGCAUGGCUGUCGCCAGCUCGUGUCGUGAGAUGUUGGGUUAAGUCCCGCAACGAGCGCAACCCUUGUCAUUAGUUGCCAUCAUUUAGUUGGGCACUCUAAUGAGACUGCCGGUGACAAACCGGAGGAAGGUGGGGAUGACGUCAAGUCCUCAUGGCCCUUAUGGGUAGGGCUUCACACGUCAUACAAUGGUCGGUACAGAGGGUUGCCAAGCCGCGAGGUGGAGCCAAUCCCUUAAAGCCGAUCGUAGUCCGGAUCGUAGUCUGCAACUCGACUACGUGAAGUCGGAAUCGCUAGUAAUCGCAGAUCAGCAUGCUGCGGUGAAUACGUUCCCGGGUCUU